AUUGAACGCCGGCGGCAGGCCUAACACAUGCAAGUCGAGCGGAUGAAGGGAGCUUGCUCCUGGAUUCAGCGGCGGACGGGUGAGUAAUGCCUAGGAAUCUGCCUGGUAGUGGGGGAUAACGUCCGGAAACGGGCGCUAAUACCGCAUACGUCCUGAGGGAGAAAGUGGGGGAUCUUCGGACCUCACGCUAUCAGAUGAGCCUAGGUCGGAUUAGCUAGUUGGUGGGGUAAAGGCCUACCAAGGCGACGAUCCGUAACUGGUCUGAGAGGAUGAUCAGUCACACUGGAACUGAGACACGGUCCAGACUCCUACGGGAGGCAGCAGUGGGUAAUAUUGGACAAAGGGCGAAAGCCUGAUCCAGCCAUGCCGCGUGUGUGAAGAAGGUCUUCGGAUUGUAAAGCACUUUAAGUUGGGAGGAAGGGCAGUAAGUUAAUACCUUGCUGUUUUGACGUUACCAACAGAAUAAGCACCGGCUAACUUCGUG
rnacentral:rRNA from 1 species